GAAAUCAUGCACAUCCAGGCCGGUCAAUGUGACAACCAGAUCGGUGCCAAGUUGUGGGAGGUGAUCAGCGAUGAGCACGGCAUCGACCCCAACAGCGACCAACCCCGCGGACAGUGACCUGCAGCUGGACCACAUUUCCGUGCACUACAAUGAAGCCAUGGGUGGCAAAUACGUUCCUCGCGCUCUUUUGGUGGAUCUAGAACCUGGGACCAUGGACUCUGUUUAAUCUGAUCCUUCUGGCCCGGAUCUCCAGACCAGAUAAUUUUGUUUUUGGUCAGUCAGGGGCAGGCAACAACUGGGCCAAGGGCCACUACACAGAGGGGGCCGAGCUGGUGGACUCUGUCCUGGAUGUGGUGCGGAAGGAGGCCGAGAGCUGUGACUGCCUGCAGGGCUUCCAGCUGACCCACUCACUGGGCGGCGGCACAGGCUCCGGCAUGGGCACCCUGCUCAUCAGCAAGAUCCGAGAGGAGUACCCCGACUGCAUCAUGAACACCUUCAGCGUGGUGCCCUCGCCCAAGGUAUCUGACACCGUGGUUGAGCCCUACAACGCCACCCUCUCUGUCCAUCAGCUGGUGGAGAACACAGAUGAGACAUACUGCAUGACAACGAGGCCCUGUAUGACAUCUGCUUCCGCACCCUCAAGCUGACCACACCCACCUAUGGGGACCUCAACCACCUGGUCUCAGCCACCAUGAGCGGCGUCACUACCUGCCUCCGCUUUCCUGGCCAGCUCAAUGCCGACUUGCGCAAGCUGGCCGUGAACAUGGUGCCCUUUCCACGCCUGCACUUCUUCAUGCCAGGGUUUGCCCCUCUUACCAGCCGUGGCAGCCAGCAGUACCGUGCCCUGACCGUGCCUGAGCUCACCCAGCAGGUCUUUGAUGCCAAGAACAUGAUGGCAGCCUGCGACCCGCGCCACGGCCGCUACCUCACAGUGGCUGCUGUCUUCCAAGGCCGCAUGUCCAUGAAGGAGAUGGAUGAGCAGAUGCUCAACGUGCAGAACAAGAACAGCAGCUACUUCGUGGAGUGGAUCCCCAACAACGUGAAGAUGGCUGUGUGUGACAUCCCACCAUGUGGCCUCAAGAUGGCUGUCACCUUCAUUGGCAACAGCACAGCCAUCCAAGAGCUGUUCAAGCGCAUCUCAGAGCAGUUCACGGCCAUGUUCCGGCGCAAGGCCUUCCUGCACUGGUACACGGGCGAGGGCAUGGACGAGAUGGAGUUCACCGAGGCUGAGAGCAACAUGAAUGACCUGGUGUCCGAGUACCAGCAGUACCAGGACGCCACUGCAGAAGAGGAAGAGGAUUUCGGGGAGGAGGCCAAAGAGGAGGCUUAAGCCAGAGUCCCUGUCACCUCGGGCUCCUCACUUCCUCAGCCACCUUCAGCUGCCCCUUUCACAAUUUGUUUGCUGCCUCUAUCUUGUUUCUUUCAGGAGUGUAGAACAGUGCCUGGCACACAGUAGGCGCUCAAUAAAUACUUGUUUGUUGAAUGUCUCUUCUUUCUCUACUCUGGCAAACCUAGAUCUGUCAUUCUAGGUGACCCUGCAAUUUCUGCUGGCUUUCACAUCUGUCUAGUUCAUGUUUCUGUUUUCAGAAGUUGGGCCUCUUCUAGAUCCCCUUUAGAACCGGCCAGGUGUUGCAAACCCACGGAAGGGCCACCAUGGGGAGCCGAGGGGAAGAGAGGCAGAGGGUG